UAUAUCUAGACAUAGACUUUGUUCAGAUAAUAGUUACUCCCUCCGUUUUAAAAUAUAAGAGAUUUUGAAGGGAUGUGACACAUCUAGAGCUAGAAUAUGUCACAAACCUUUAAAAUUUCUUAUAGGACGGAGGGAGUUCGAGUUAGCUUAGGUAUUGUUUAGU
rnacentral:pre_miRNA from 1 species